GACGAACGCUGGCGGCGUGCUUAACACAUGCAAGUCGAACGGAAAGGCCCCUUUGGGGGUACUCGAGUGGCGAACGGGUGAGUAACACGUGUGUAACCUGCCCUUGACUUCGGGAUAACUUCAGGAAACUGGGGCUAAUACCGGCUAGGAAUCCUUGCUGCAUGGUGGGGGUUGGACAGCUUCCGCGGUUUUGGAUGGACCCGCGGCUUAUCAGCUUGUUGGUGGGGUAGUGGCUUACCAAGGCUUUGAGGGGUAGCCGGACUGAGAGGGCGACCGGCCACACUGGGACUGAGAGGCGGCAGAGACGGGGACGGGAGGAAGCAGGGGGGAAGAUUGCUCAAGGGGCGGAGGCCGGAUGCAGCAACGCCGCGGGCGGGAUAACGGCUUUCGGGGUGAAAACCGCUUGCAGGAGGGGCGAAGCUUGUGGUGACGGUACCUGCAGAAGAAGCACCGGCUAACUACGUG
rnacentral:rRNA from 1 species